AUUGAACGCUGGCGGCAGGCCUAACACAUGCAAGUCGAGCGAGCGGCGGACGGGUGGGUAAUGUAUGGGGACUGCCCGAUAGAGGGGGAUAACUGCUGGAAACGGUGGCUAAUACCGCAUACUGUCGGAUAACCCAUAUGGGAUUAUCUAGUCGGUGGGGUAAAGGCUCACCUAGGCGACGAUCUCUAGCUGGUCUGAGAGGAUGAUCAGCCACACGGGGACUGAGACACGGCCCAGAAUCCUACGGAGGCAGCAGUGGGGAAUAUUGCACAAUGGGCGGAAGCCUGAUGCAGCGACGCCGCGUGGGGGAUGACGGCCUUCUGGUUGUAAACUCCUUCGACCAUAGCCGCGGUAGCUGGAGAAGAAGCACCGGCUAACUCCGUGCCAGCAGCCGCGGUAAUUC
rnacentral:rRNA from 1 species